rnacentral:rRNA from 1 species
AGGUAGCGCAAUCACCUGUCCCUUAAUUGAGGACUAGUAUGAACGGCUAAAUGAGGGCCCCCCUGUCUCCUGCGACCAAUCAAUGAAUUUGAUCCUUCAGUACAAAAGCUGAAAUAUUUACAUAAGACGAAAAGACCCUAUGGAGCUUUAAGCCAUUAUACUACUCAGCCAUAAAACCCCUUCCACCACCCUAGUAUAUACUUUCAGUUGGGGCAACUACGGAGCAAAACAAAAACUCCACGGACCAACGUCUAACACACGCAGCACCCCAGGCUGCCACGCCAAACACCCUAGACCCAGACCCAGUUUAACUGAACAACGGACCAAGUUACCCUAGGGAUAACAGCGCUAUCUUCCCCCCAGAGCCCAUAUCUACGGGGAGGCUUACGACCUCGAUGUUGGAUCAGGACCCCCCGGCGGUGCAGCCGCUGCCAAAGGUUCGUUUGUUCAACGACUAACGUCCU